GCGCAACUGGACGGCAACGCAAAGCAAUCAGCUUUUCCCGGAGCUGAGAGCAGCUCGCGAUUUCAAAGGGAGAAAACUCAGCUCCUCGUGGUGGAAGAGCGCCCCUAGGAGGACGAAGCUUGCAGCCGACAGCGGGAUCACCUGGCUGGGCGGCAUCCGCCAGUGACCAGUUUUGACUUAAAAGCCGGAGCACAGACGUUUGGUUUUUUUCUCUAAACCUAAGGCUACACGCAAAAGAAAAUGCGCAGGUUUGUCCAGAAGGCAACGUGCCUUUUCCCGCGUGCGAGGAGGA